rnacentral:rRNA from 1 species
GAUGAACGCUGGCGGCGUGCUUAACACAUGCAAGUCGAACGAUGAAGCCCAGCUUGCUGGGUGGAUUAGUGGCGAACGGGUGAGUAACACGUGAGUAACCUGCCCUUAACUCUGGGAUAAGCCUGGGAAACUGGGUCUAAUACCGGAUAGGAGCGCCUACCGCAUGGUGGGUGUUGGAAAGAUUUAUCGGUUUUGGAUGGACUCGCGGCCUAUCAGCUUGUUGGUGAGGUAAUGGCUCACCAAGGCGACGACGGGUAGCCGGCCUGAGAGGGUGACCGGCCACACUGGGACUGAGACACGGCCCAGACUCCUACGGAGGCAGCAGUGGGGAAUAUUGCACAAUGGGCGCAAGCCUGAUGCAGCGACGCCGCGUGAGGGAUGACGGCCUUCGGGUUGUAAACCUCUUUCAGUAGGGAAGAAGCGAAAAGUGACGGUACCUGCAGAAGAAGCACCGGCUAACUACGUGCCAGCCGCCGCGGUAAU